GCAGGGUCGAAAGACGGACUUAGUGAUCCGGUGGUUCCGCAUGGAAGGGCCAUCGCUCAACGGAUAAAAGCUACCCCGGGGAUAACAGGCUUAUCUCCCCCAAGAGUUCACAUCGACGGGGAGGUUUGGCACCUCGAUGUCGGCUCAUCGCAUCCUGGGGCUGUAGUCGGUCCCAAGGGUUGGGCUGUUCGCCCAUUAAAGCGGUACGCGAGCUGGGUUCAGAACGUCGUGAGACAGUUCGGUCCCUAUCCGUCGUGGGCGUAGGAAAUUUGAGAGGAGCUGUCCUUAGUACGAGAGGACCGGGAUGGACAUACCUCUGGUGUACCAGUUGUCGUGCCAACGGCAUAGCUGGGUAGCUAUGUGUGGACGGGAUAAGUGCUGAAAGCAUCUAAGCAUGAAGCCCCCCUCAAGAUGAGAUUUCCCAACUUCGGUUAUAAGAUCCCUCAAAGAUGAUGAGGUUAAUAGGUUCGAGGUGGAAGCAUGGUGACAUGUGGAGCUGACGAAUACUAAUCGAUCGAAGACUUAAUCAAAA
rnacentral:rRNA from 1 species